AUUGAACGCUGGCGGCAGGCCUAACACAUGCAAGUCGAGCGGAUGAAGGGAGCUUGCUCCUGGAUUCAGCGGCGGACGGGUGAGUAAUGCCUAGGAAUCUGCCUGGUAGUGGGGGAUAACGUCCGGAAACGGGCGCUAAUACCGCAUACGGCCUGAGGGAGAAAGUGGGGGAUCUUCGGACCUCACGCUAUCAGAUGAGCCUAGGUCGGAUUAGCUAGUUGGUGGGGUAAAGGCCUACCAAGGCGACGAUCCGUAACUGGUCUGAGAGGAUGAUCAGUCACACUGGAACUGAGACACGGUCCAGACUCCUACGGGAGGCAGCAGUGGGGAAUAUUGGACAAUGGGCGAAAGCCUGCUCCAGCCAUGCCGCGUGUGUGAAGAAGGUCUUCGGAUUGUAAAGCACUUUAAGUUGGGAGGAAGGGCAGUAAGUUAAUACCUUGCUGUUUUGACGUUACCAACAGAAUAAGCACCGGCUAACUUCGUG
rnacentral:rRNA from 1 species